ACGUUAGCGGCGGACGGGUGAGUAACACGUGGGUAACCUACCUAUAAGACUGGGAUAACUUCGGGAAACCGGAGCUAAUACCGGAUAAUAUUUCGAACCGCAUGGUUCGAUAGUGAAAGANGGUUUUGCUAUCACUUAUAGAUGGACCUGCGCCGUAUUAGCUAGUUGGUAAGGUAACGGCUUACCAAGGCGACGAUACGUAGCCGACCUGAGAGGGUGAUCGGCCACACUGGAACUGAGACACGGUCCAGACUCCUACGGGAGGCAGCAGC
rnacentral:rRNA from 1 species